rnacentral:rRNA from 1 species
AGGCAGCAGUGGGGAAUAUUGCACAAUGGGGGAAACCCUGAUGCAGCCAUGCCGCGUGUGUGAAGAAGGCCUUCGGGUUGUAAAGCACUUUCAGUAGGGAGGAAGGUAGUGUAGUUAACACCUGCAUUAUUUGACGUUACCUACAGAAGAAGCACCGGCUAACUCCGUGCCAGCAGCCGCGGUAAUACGGAGGGUGCGAGCGUUAAUCGGAAUUACUGGGCGUAAAGCGCAUGCAGGCGGCCUGUUAAGUCAGAUGUGAAAGACCCGGGGCUUAACCUCGGAAUUGCAUUUGAAACUGGCAGGCUAGAGUCUUGUAGAGGGGGGUAGGAAUUUCAGGUGUAGCGGUGAAAUGCGUAGAGAUCUGAAGGAAUACCAGUGGCGAAGGCGGCCCCCUGGACAAAGACUGACGCUCAGAUGCGAAAGCGUGGGGAGCAAACAGGAUUAGAUACCCUGGUAG